rnacentral:rRNA from 1 species
AGUGAACGCUGGCGGCGUGCUUAACACAUGCAAGUCGAACGAGAACGGAUUAUAGCUUGCUAUAAUUGUCAGCUAAGUGGCGCACGGGUGAGUAAUGUAUAGGUAAUAUGCCUCUUACUAAGGGAUAACAAUUGGAAACGAUUGCUAAUACCUUAUACUCCUUAUUAACCUAAGUUAAUAAGGGAAAGAUUUAUUGGUAAGAGAUUAGCCUGUAUUGUAUCAGUUAGUUGGUGGGGUAAUGGCUUACCAAGACUAUGACACAUAACUGGUUUGAGAGGAUGAUCAGUCACACUGGAACUGAGACACGGUCCAGACUCCUACGGGAGGCAGCAGUGGGGAAUAUUGCACAAUGGACGAAAGUCUGAUGCAGCAACGCCGCGUGGAGGAUGACACAUUUCGGUGCGUAAACUCCUUUUAUAUGAGAAGAUAAUGACGGUAUUAUAUGAAUAAGCACCGGCUAACUCCGUGCCAGCAGCCGCCGUAA